rnacentral:rRNA from 1 species
UACGAAGGGGGCUAGCGUUGCUCGGAAUCACUGGGCGUAAAGCGCACGUAGGCGGCUUUCUAAGUCAGGGGUGAAAUCCUGGAGCUCAACUCCAGAACUGCCUUUGAUACUGGAAAGCUUGAGUUCGAGAGAGGUGAGUGGAACUGCGAGUGUAGAGGUGAAAUUCGUAGAUAUUCGCAAGAACACCAGUGGCGAAGGCGGCUCACUGGCUCGAUACUGACGCUGAGGUGCGAAAGCGUGGGGAGCAAAC